rnacentral:misc_RNA from 1 species
AUGUGGCUCUGGCCGGCGUCAAAGUCGCCGCGCGUACUAUCGUCGUUUUCGCGCUUCUUUAUGCGAGUGGCGCGCCAUCGGAUCCGGUUCUCUGGCUAUGCUCCCGAGGAUCGAUCACCAGGGACGGGUUCAGAGAGAGGCCAGAGCUUUGUUCGGUUGAAUCGAUCCGGGUAUAUAGGUUCUUGGGCGACGAGAAUUUGGCUGGACGUCGAGCAAGGUUUCGGUUAGGAUUGUUGGGUCUUAUAUUAGCAUUAUGAUCUGUAAUGGCUGUAGAAAUGACUGGAAAGAGGUUAGGACACAUUUUUCAUAGAUUUAUUGUCCAUUUUGGUGUCUGAAUAAUUUUUUCAUUGAAAUUAUAUAUUAAUUUUAAAUUGACAUUAUGGAUUGCGAUGAUUUAGUU